rnacentral:rRNA from 1 species
GACGAACGCUGGCGGCGUGCUUAACACAUGCAAGUCGAACGGAAAGGCCCUGCUUUUGUGGGGUGCUCGAGUGGCGAACGGGUGAGUAACACGUGAGUAACCUGCCCUUGACUUUGGGAUAACUUCAGGAAACUGGGGCUAAUACCGGAUAGGAGCUCCUGCUGCAUGGUGGGGGUUGGAAAGUUUCGGCGGUUGGGGAUGGACUCGCGGCUUAUCAGCUUGGUGGUGGGGUAGUGGCUUACCAAGGCUUUGACGGGUAGCCGGCCUGAGAGGGUGACCGGCCGCAUUGGGACUGGGCUGCGGCCCGGACUCCUCCGGGAGGCAGCAGUGGGGAAUAUUGCCCAAUGGGCGGAAGCCUGAUGCAGCACCGCCGCGUGCGGGAUGACGGCCUUCGGGUUGUAAACCGCUUUCGCCUGUGACGAAGCGUGAGUGACGGUAAUGGGUAAAGAAGCACCGGCUAACUACGUG